AACGAACGCUGGCGGCGUGCCUAACACAUGCAAGUCGUGCGAGAAAGUUCCUUCGGGAGCGAGUAAAGCGGCGCACGGGUGAGUAACACGUAGGUAACCUGCCCCCCAGUCUGGAACAACUAGAGGAAACUCUAGCUAAUGCCGGAUGAGACCACGAUCCCUUCGGGGGUUGCGGCCAAAGAUGGCCUCUACUUGUAAGCUAUCGCUGAGGGAUGGGCCUGCGGGCCAUUAGCUUGUUGGUGAGGUAACGGCUCACCAAGGCUGUGAUGGCUAGCUGGUCUGAGAGGAUGACCAGCCACACUGGGACUGAGACACGGCCCAGACUCCUACGGAGGCAGCAGUGGGGAAUAUUGCGCAAUGGGACGAAAGCCUGACGCAGCGACGCCGCGU
rnacentral:rRNA from 1 species